rnacentral:rRNA from 1 species
ACCUACGGGACGCAGCAGUGGGGAAUAUUGGGCAAUGGAGGCAACUCUUACCCAGCAAUGCCGCGGGAAUGAAGAAGGUCUUCGGAUUGUAAAGUUCUUUAAUUGGGGACGAAAAAAAUGACGGUACCCAAGGAAUAAGCCCCGGCUAACUACGUGCCAGCAGCCGCGGUAAUACGUAGGGGGCAAGCGUGGUUCGGAAUGACUGGGCGUAAAGGGGGGGUAGGCGGUGGAGCAAGUUAGAAGUGAAAUACCUAGAGAUUAA